rnacentral:rRNA from 1 species
AUUGAACGCUGGCGGCAGGCCUAACACAUGCAAGUCGAACGGUAACAGGAAGAAGCUUGCUUCUUUGCUGACGAGUGGCGGACGGGUGAGUAAUGUCUGGGAAACUUCCUGAUGGAGGGGGAUAACUACUGGAAACGGUAGCUAAUACCGCAUAACGUCGCAAGACCAAAGAGGGGGACCUUCGGGCCUCUUGCCAUCGGAUGUGCCCAGAUGGUAUUAGCUAGUAGGUGGGGUAACGGCUCACCUAGGCGACGAUCCCUAGCUGGUCUGAGAGGAUGACCAGCCACACUGGAACUGAGACACGGUCCAGACUCCUACGGGAGGCAGCAGUGGGGAAUAUUGCACAAUGGGCGCAAGCCUGAUGCAGCCAUGCCGCGUGUAUGAAGAAGGCCUUCGGGUUGUAAAGUACUUUCAGCGGGGAGGAAGGGAGUAAAGUUAAUACCUUGGCUCAUUGACGUUACCCGCAGAAGAAGCACCGGCUAACUCCGUG